rnacentral:rRNA from 1 species
UGGGGAAUUUUGGACAAUGGGCGAAAGCCUGAUCCAGCCAUCCCGCGUGUGCGAUGAAGGCCUUCGGGUUGUAAAGCACUUUUGGCAGGAAAGAAACGUCGCGGGUUAAUACCCCGCGAAACUGACGGUACCUGCAGAAUAAGCACCGGCUAACUACGUGCCAGCAGCCGCGGUAAUACGUAGGGUGCAAGCGUUAAUCGGAAUUACUGGGCGUAAAGCGUGCGCAGGCGGUUCGGAAAGAAAGAUGUGAAAUCCCAGAGCUUAACUUUGGAACUGCAUUUUUAACUACCGGGCUAGAGUGUGUCAGGGGGAGGUGGAAUUCCGCGUGUAGCAGUGAAAUGCGUAGAUAUGCGGAGGAACACCGAUGGCGAAGGCAGCCUCCUGGGAUAACACUGACGCUCAUGCACGAAAGCGUGGGGAGCAAACAGGAUUAGAUACCCUGGUAGUCCACGCCCUAAACGAUGUCAACUAGCUGUUGGGGCCUUCGGGCCUUGGUAGCGCAGCUAACGCGUGAAGUUGACCGCCUGGGGAGUACGGUCGCAAGAUUAAAACUUAAAGGAAUUGACGGGGGUCAUAGCUGUUUCCCU